rnacentral:rRNA from 1 species
CCUACGGGUGACAGCAGUGAGGAAUAUUGGUCAAUGGGCGUAAGCCUGAACCAGCCAAGUCGCGUGAGGGAUGAAGGUUCUAUGGAUCGUAAACCUCUUUUAUAAGGGAAUAAAGUGUGGGACGUGUCCUAUUUUGUAUGUACCUUAUGAAUAAGGAUCGGCUAACUCCGUGCCAGCAGCCGCGGUAAUACGGAGGAUCCGAGCGUUAUCCGGAUUUAUUGGGUUUAAAGGGUGCGUAGGCGGCCUUUUAAGUCAGCGGUGAAAGUCUGUGGCUCACCCAGAGAAUUGCCGUUGAAACUGGGGGUCUUGAGUAUGUUUGAGGCAGGCGGAAGGCGUGGUGUAGCGCGGAAAUGCUUAGAUAUCACGCAGAACCCCGAUUGCGAAGGCAGCCUGCCAAGCCAUGACUGACGCUGAUGCACGAAAGCGUGGGGAUCAAACAGGAUUAGAUACCCCUGUAGUC